rnacentral:rRNA from 1 species
GAUAAGGAGCUUGCUCCUUUGACGUUAGCGGCGGACGGGUGAGUAACACGUGGAUAACCUACCUAUAAGACUGGGAUAACUUCGGGAAACCGGAGCUAAUACCGGAUAACAUAUUGAACCGCAUGGUUCAAUAGUGAAAGGCGGCUUUGCUGUCACUUAUAGAUGGAUCCGCGCCGUAUUAGCUAGUUGGUAAGGUAACGGCUUACCAAGGCAACGAUACGUAGCCGACCUGAGAGGGUGAUCGGCCACACUGGAACUGAGACACGGUCCAGACUCCUACGGGAGGCAGCAGUAGGGAAUCUUCCGCAAUGGGCGAAAGCCUGACGGAGCAACGCCGCGUGAGUGAUGAAGGUCUUCGGAUCGUAAAACUCUGUUAUCAGGGAAGAACAAAUGUGUAAGUAACUGUGCACAUCUUGACGGUACCUGAUCAGAAAGCCACGGCUAACUACGUGCCAGCAGCCGCGGUAAUACGUAGGUGGCAAGCGUUAUCCGGAAUUAUUGGGCGUAAAGCGCGCGUAGGCGGUUUUUUA